rnacentral:misc_RNA from 1 species
GAUGAAGAACGUAGCGAAAUGCGAUAAGUAGUGUGAAUUGCAGAAUUCAGUGAAUCAUCGAAUCUUUGAACGCACAUUGCGCCCUUUGGUAUUCCUUAGGGCAUGCCUGUUCGAGCGUCAUUUAAACCUUCAAGCUAAGCUUGGUGUUGGGUGACUGUCCGCUUCACGGCGGACUCGCCUCAAAAUUAUUGGCGGCCGGUACAUUGGCUUCGAGCGCAGCAGAAACGCGAACUCGGGCCCGUCGUAUUGGCUCCCAGAAGCUAUCUUCACAAUUUUGGCCUCGGAUCAGGUAGGGAUACCCGCUGAACUUAAGCAUAUCAAUAAGCGGAGG